UUAUCGCAGAAUGUAGCAUGAGAUGUUAUGAUGUCAUAAUCUUGUUUAACACGAGGCUGAGUGCUGGACGGAGGGGUCGUUAUAGCACUCGGAAUAAUCAGACUAAGAAAAACAACUCAUUAUUGUUAUAACUCUAAUAUUAGAAGCUGUUUGUUUAAGAACCACAUGGGUAUUUCUUUUUGAUUCGAGGCUCUGGGUUGUUGUUCGGAGGAUCCGAGUUCAAGCCCAAGCACUGCCACUGUUGGGCCCCUGAACAAGGCGCCUAGCCUGUAUAACCUCGGGAUAUGUGAAGAAGGAAUUUCACUGUGUUGUCAUAAAGAUAACAAAAUAAAGUCCACGACUUUUAACGUGUUUAGCGAGACGAGAACUAAAAGUAUUAACAAGCAUUGACUUUAGUACGAUUUUUUUAGAUUAUGAUGAUGUCAUGAUGCUUAGAAAAGAUCAGGGAAAUUUGUUUAGCUCUCGUUCUGUAUGUUUGUGGUCCUGCCCUCAGCAGCAGAUCAGAUUCUGUACGGCGUGUCUGUGACCUUUACUUUCUGGAACGGAACAGAGCUGAAAAAAAGUGAAGUAAACAAGCUCAAAAUAUUAGCUUGCUAUAUACAACCGCUGCCUGGUUUAAAAAAAGUCCGACGGUGUGUAAGUGAGAAGGUCAGCUUCCUCGGUCACGCCGGACGGAUAGUUUACCGGAAAGUUCCACGGAUGUGCUGAGACGGAUGACGGACGUAGCCGAGCCGGAGGAACUGUGAAAAACGACUCUCACGCUGUCUUCGUGCGUUCUUAUCUAAACGGACACAAAAUCAGUACCUAGCCCUAACAAAACGUGAUUACGUUGAUGACUAGACUGAACGAUGUAGCGUGAGUGGGGCCGAUUCGUGGAGUAUUAGCAUAAAGCGGGAACGUUGUGAAAUCUCACCAGGAUGUUGGGAUCUACAGCAGAACUACAGCAGUGAGUAAGCUCUGCGAUCUGCACCUUGUCCUGCUGCAGCCUCCUCUUCAUCAGCUUGGAGCAGUUGACGUUAACCGCCUCUAGGAUGUGGGAGGUGUUAUAAUCCACAAAGGGUCUGCUGUCGAUCAGAAGCACUCGGUCCAGUCCACCCUCCAGCAACGCUACGAGGCCUUCGGGCCCGAUGAGUCUCACUGAGGCUGGAGCUCCCGUCCCGGCAUGCUCUACCAUAUCCAUGACCUCUCGAUCCAUCCGUCUGACUGUUACCUCCUCUCUUCCUGUGGUGCAAUGACGUGGCCCGCGAGGGCCUUCAGCAGAAGAACGACCCCAUUGUGGUGGCAGCCGAUGAUGUCACCCUUUUAGUGUUUGGCUGGUGAGUUUGAAGAAGAA